CACUACUUAUAAGAAAACCAAGGUGUAUCUUUGGCCCGACCCGACUCAGGGUGGCAUGAAGGCUGGCAGAACUGUCCAAACUAUCUUAAAUCUAGCUGGUUUUAAGAAUGUGAAGUCUAAGGUUGUUGGGUCCCGAAAUCCUCAUAACACAGUGAAAGCUCUUUUCAAGGGUCUAAAUGCGAUUGAAACGCCC